rnacentral:lncRNA from 1 species
AAAGAAGCCCAAGUGCCUUGGAAUCUAUUUUUCCUGAAGUUGAUUUUCUAUUAUCUUUGUUUAAGAAUUCAUGUAUGCAGUUGGUUAAUCUUAGGAAACAGGUGAAUCUUUCAGCUAAUUUCCUUUCAGUGUUCUGCUAUUCACUAGAUGAUCUCCCUAAUAUUGAUGUUUGUUCUCAGAUUGAUCAGAAACUCUAGAAUGAUAAAACUGAAAUUUCUGCUCAAGACUCUAAGCAUCGGAAAACGCUUUCUGAGGUUAGUUAGCUUGGUUUAAUAGAUUAUUAUUCUAUUUAUAUGAAGGCACGAGGGCAUGCAGCAUGUUGCUAACUGUUGCUGUUUCUUUUUCCAUAUUUACAUGCAGCCGGAAAAAUGUGUUGAUGGCUUGUUUGAUAGUUUUGCAAGGUUGGAUUCACGUAUAUAUAGUGUUGUUCAAACUGCUGCUAACGUAGGAGACCACCUGCAGGUAAAGGUAAAGCCUGUAUAAAGAAAUCUCGAUUUUGGGUGGCUCGGGGAGCCGAAAUCUCGAUUUUGGGAUGGAAACGGUUCGGCGAGGAAAUUUCACCACAUGUUCCCCAUCAUGAAAGAUUACCAAGAGUCCAAGAAUCAUGCAAUUCAGACGUGUAACGAGGGAGAUAUUGGCAAAUUACAAUAAUGACGAUACCUCGGUGUUUAUUCGUUCAUUGAACUGAUUGCCAUGAUAGGGAUGCGAGUGUUUGAGAUAGUAAAUAUCUGCAUUAAAUUUCUUUUAUUGAUGCUUUGCGUCACACCCCAAUUCAUAUAAAUAACACAAGAGAAAAAUCCUUGUUGAAACCGAAAAGAAGGUAACAAGUCAGGCUAGGCCCCUUUGGAUCACAAGUUUUGUUUCAUGCUUCUGAUAACCAGUAUCAUUUGCAUAAAAUUAUGAGUUAAGUGUUUAAGCUCAAUCAGAGAUGCCGCUCUAAAUCUAACAUGAAAGUCUUAAGUUGAGAAAACAAAAGACAAAUAAGAGUUAUUGUUAUAGCGGAAGUCUAAAAUAGAAAGUUGAACCAUAGCCUCAGCUCGUCCCGUCAGCAACGACCGGCCAACCUGAAAAACAUUUGAAAGUAUUUUUAGGUUAAGUACUAAUGUACUCAGUGGGCAUGCAUUUUCUGAAACAUUUCAUAUUUUCGUAAAGACAGUUUAUCCAAUCAUAAUUGACAUAACUUAGAAGGUUUUAAAUUGAAAGAACUUCUAAGCAUGUUAAAAUAAUUUCUUUUAUUUGUGCGCACAUGUCACACUCCCUUUCUAUUACUCGCUGUGAUCCCGGACCUUUUAGCCAUCGUUAGAUCCAUUUCUCCCAUUUACUUGAACUGAGGGCGUAACCCAGACAAGUUUCAUUUGACCUCGGGACGCUACCCAGGCAGGCCUUACAUUACAUGCUCCGGAACACAUCCAGCAAGCACCCUUAUAACGUCUAUUAGUUAGUGCCCGAUGGAGAUCAACCCACUAGGUCAGCUAACGAGUGUACAUAAUUCUCAAAUAACGUGUUAGGCCAUAAGAGAACCUUGAACGAUUCGUUGUGGCGAGCCUUAAACAGAGCAGAGUGCACAUAAACAUUUUAUCGGAUAAACAGUUUGCAUUUCAUUGAAUAAACAAUUUACAUUUCAUUGAAACAUUUAGAGCUUAAUAACUCAUUCAUACUUUAUACAUUUGGAAAGUAAGCCUACCUGAUUAGGCAAUGUCUGCAGUUUUACUCAUAACUCUGAAUAGGAAUAGCGACGCUAAUUCUCCUGAACCACAAAGCCUACAAGAAAUCUAUUAUUAAUAGGUCUCUCGAAUGUAAUCUUAAGUCAUAGUGAAAGUGCUUAACAUUUUAUGAUUCACCAAGUCGAAUUUUCAAAAUUUAAUCAUAAAUACUUGAAAAUUUAAAUCCUGAGCUAAGGACACCAACAAUAUCCUUGUUCGAUUUUCUUUGAUGAUUGGAUUUAUGAAAAAUCAAUUUAAAUCAUAAAUACUCUUAUUGUUCAAAUACUUAAUGCAAAUAAUUUCAUGCUUAAUCAUAUAAUAAGUAAUUGCAGCAUGUAUGUACAUAAUAAUAUUAUUAUGCAAUUCAUUCUUUAACAUAAAUAAUUAAACUAAUUAAUAGUCUAAUUAAAUAAUAAAUUUAGGCUUAAAUCAAUAAUCCAAUUAAAGAAGUUAAUUGGCAGCCCAAUAAUUUAAAGAGUAAAAUUUUGAAGUAGCCAAAAUGAAGCAUAAAACACAAUUUAUGGCCACACAUUGAAAAAACACAAAUUUUGGCCAUUUUUAUAGCUUUGGGACGCUUUUGCCCUUAAUUGGGCGGACUGGGUAGGGUCAGACACGCGGGUCGCGUGCCGGGUCGGGUUAGGCACUUAUGGCACUAUUAGUGCCAUAAGUGCCAAGAUGGCACUUAUGGCACUAAUAGUGCCAUAAGUGCCAUCGAAAAUCCAAAAUAAAACCAAGUAAAAUAGUCAUUUUGGCACUUAUGUCACUAUUAGUGCCAUAAGUGCCAACGAAAUUCAAAAUAAAACUAAGUAAAAUGGUCAUCAGCACAAAUACAGAAACAACAACAUCAUUUAAACCCUAAAUGGAACAUCUAAACCCUAAAUGGGUAAUCUAAACCCUAAAUGGAACAUCUAAACCCCAAAUGAAUAAUCUAAACCCUAAAUGGAAUAUCUAAACCCUAGGGGGAAGUGUGCACUUAUGGCACUUAUGGCACUAUUAGUGCCAUAAGUGCCAUCUUGGCACUUAUGGCACUAAUAGUGCCAUAAGUGCCUAACCCGACCCGGCACGCGACCCGCGUGUCUGAUCCUACCCAGUCCGCCUCAUUAAGGGCAAAAGCGUCCAAAUCAAUAAAAAUGGCCAAAAUUUGUGUUUUUUCAAAUGGUGGACAAAAUUUGAUUUUCAUUCUUCAUUAUGGCCAUUUGGGUGGAUUGUUUCUAAUUUAAAUGCAGAUUCACCCAAGUAAAAUAAAUAGGGCAGCCCACAUUCUUUAAAAUAAUUCAGACCCAAGAGUUUAAUUAAAAUGGUGUGGCCCAACCACAAAUUAAUUCUGCAGCCCAAACUUUAAUAAUUCCGGCCCAAAACAGAUGGCCCAACACCCCAACCCUAUUCCUCUUAUUCCUAUCACAAGAUAGGUUUCAAUCUCUCCCUCAGCACCAAAACUCGCCCUCUCUCUAAUCUCUCUCAAACCUUACUGAAUCAGGCCCUCUCUCAAAACCUCGCCGCCACGGCUCCUCCUCCGGCCACGAACGCCGCCGGCCACUCCUCUCCCGACUCCCUCGACUCUAUUUCACUCAAGGUUGGCCACACACACACGGACCCACACACGCCGCCCCUCUCCCGACUCCCUUCAUCUUCUCCCUCAUCUCCGGCCACACCGGCGCCCCAUAUCCCUCUCUUUCUCGGCGGCAGCAACCGCCGCCACGGUCACCGCCUCAUCUCCCUUACCCCUCUGCUCUCGCCUCCUCUCUGACCCAGAACGGCGACGGUGAGGGACUCCGCCGUCUGAGCCCUAGCCCCAAUCACGGCUCCUCUCAAUUUCUGGCAACGACGCCGCCCCUACGCAGCGCUGCCUCCAUCCGUUCUCCCUCAUCUCAAAGCCUCGCCGGACAGACUACAGCAGCAGCCGUGCCACCGCAGUCGACGCCCGGUCUCCCUCCAUCUCUUCCCUCUGAACUCCGGUGAUAAAACAAAGCCCUGAGGCUGUUGCCCACCUUCCCUGACUCGACUCAGCAGCUACAACAACACCCACCCGACUCAACUCGGUACCCACCGACUCAGUUCGACUCAAGCAUCACAAAAUAGAGUUCAAAAGCUAAAAUCCAGAUUAUUCAAGUCAAAGUUCUUUUCUUUAAAACUAUUUGUGAAGUUGUCAUUCCUUUUGAAAUCUUUGUUCUGCUAUACACAAAAUAUACAUAUAUGCAGCUGUUAUUCAUGUACGGCAUUUUGGUUUCAUUUGAAAUAUAUGUGUAUAUAUAUCGAGAUGAAUGUAUGUGUGUUAUAGCUGAAAUUAGAACUAAAGUUACAGAAAUUUAAAAGUUAAAAACCUUUGGAAAACUUGCUGAUGGUUGGUUGCUUGAAAUUUGGUGGAGGCUUGAAUUAGCUCAGCACUUGAAACUCCUCUUUCUUGCGAAAUGUUGAUUGAAUUUGUUAGAAAUGAAGAAGGAUGGAUUGAUUUUGCAGAGAGUGUUUUGUGAUGAUGUUAAAGGGGCAUAGUUGGUGGAAAGUAAGGAGUGAUGGUAAGUUUGGACUUUGAAAUUAUACAAAACUACUGUUUUUUGAUUUGUCUGUUUACCGCAUUAUAUCGUGUUACUAGUGUUUCUAUCGUCCCAAUGUCGUUUGUAUUGAGGCAAAUUAUAAUAAUGACGAUACCUCGGUGUUUAUUCGUUCACUGAACUGAUUGCCAUGAUAGGGAUGCGAGUGUUUGAGAUAGUAUAUGUCUGCAUUAAAUUUCUUUUAUUGAUGCUUUGAAUAGUUUAUGAUUUCAUACUUUUGUUGUUUUUGAAUUUGUUAGUGGAGUUUUUCUCAUAAUCUCUUGCUGUUCACAUUCCAGGUUAACGAAUACGCACUAUUGGCUUUAUUUUGCUGAAGAAAAAUGUUCGGAAGCAACCGUAAGUUCUGUUUCCCUUAACUUAGUCGGUUCUUAUUUGAUUGUUUUGUAUUGCCACAUUGGUUGUUCUCCUCUAUUAUCUUCCUGUGGAUAACUCUCCGCUUUUUACCUUUGAAUAUAUCCCUUGACAACAAAUUCCUAAAUUAAAUCUGUUAUAUGGUUAGGUAAUGAUAAUAACAUUGGCUACUUGAGAUCAAAUGUUUAAUUUUUUUAUUUGAGAUUUGGGAGAGUACACAAUUAAAAAUAUUUUAUAUGUUCCUGGGUUAUGCUUGUACAUCCUGAUUUUUUCUGGGUUAUGCUUGUACAUCCUGAUUUUUCCUUUGUUCUGUUACAGCUUUUGGGCUGUCAUCUAGUUUUUAUUAAAACCCAUGCCGUCCACCUUUACGACUAUUUUUGGUGGACGGAGGGAGUAUUUUUUUAUUUCUUUUUCUUUUUCUCUAUUUAUAAAAAUUGUAGUAUAAUUUAACUAAUGAUAAAAUAUUUCCUUUCAGUGUUCUGCUAUUCACUAGAUGAUCUCCCUAAUAUUGAUGUUUGUUCUCAGAUUGAUCAGAAACUCUAGAAUGAUAAAACUGAAAUUUCUGCUCAAGACUCUAAGCAUCGGAAAACGCUUUCUGAG